GACGAACGCUGGCGGCGUGCUUCAUACAUGCAAGUCGAACGAGAAGCUGACUUCGGUCAGUGGAAAGUGGCGGACGGGUGAGUAAUAUGUAGGAAAUCUGCCUUUAGGAGGGGGACAACAGAGGGAAACUUCUGCUAAUACCCCAUAUGAGCGUAGCUGAAAUGCUAUUCUUGAAAACUCCGGUGCCUAAAGAUGAGCCUGCAUCUGAUUAGCUAGUUGGUAGUGUAAUGGACUACCAAGGCGACGAUCAGUAGCUGGUUUGAGAGGAUGAUCAGCCACAAUGGGACUGAGACACGGCACAUACUCCUACGGGAGACAGCAGUAGGGAAUUUUGCGCAAUGGGCGAAAGCCUGACGAAGCAACGCCGCGUGAACGAUUAAGCCCUUCGGGGUGUAAAGUUCUGUCAGUGGGGACGAAACUUGACGGUACCCACAGAGGAAGCACCGGCUAACUCCGUG
rnacentral:rRNA from 1 species